rnacentral:rRNA from 1 species
AGCGAACGCUGGCGGCAGGCUUAACACAUGCAAGUCGAGCGGGCCCUUCGGGGUCAGCGGCAGACGGGUGAGUAACACGUGGGAACGCACCCUUUGGUUCGGAAUAACGCUGGGAAACUAGCGCUAAUACCGGAUACGCCCUUUUGGGGAAAGGCUUGCUGCCGAAGGAUCGGCCCGCGUCUGAUUAGCUAGUUGGUGGGGUAAUGGCCUACCAAGGCGACGAUCAGUAGCUGGUCUGAGAGGAUGAUCAGCCACACUGGGACUGAGACACGGCCCAGACUCCUACGGGAGGCAGCAGUGGGGAAUAUUGGACAAUGGGCGCAAGCCUGAUCCAGCCAUGCCGCGUGAGUGAUGAAGGCCUUAGGGUUGUAAAGCUCUUUUGUCCGGGACGAUAAUGACGGUACCGGAAGAAUAAGCCCCGGCUAACUUCGUG